GACGAACGCUGGCGGCGUGCCUAAUACAUGCAAGUAGAACGCUGAAGGAGGAGCUUGCUUCUCCGGAUGAGUUGCGAACGGGUGAGUAACGCGUAGGUAACCUGCCUGGUAGCGGGGGAUAACUAUUGGAAACGAUAGCUAAUACCGCAUAACAGUAGAUGUUGCAUGACAUUUGCUUAAAAGGUGCAAUUGCAUCACUACCAGAUGGACCUGCGUUGUAUUAGCUAGUUGGUGAGGUAACGGCUCACCAAGGCGACGAUACAUAGCCGACCUGAGAGGGUGAUCGGCCACACUGGAGUUGAGACACGGCCCAGACUCCUACGGGAGGCAGCAGUAGGGAAUCUUCGGCAAUGGACGGAAGUCUGACCGAUCAACGCCGCGUGAGUGAAGAAGGUUUUCGGAUCGUAAAGCUCUGUUGUAAGAGAAGAACGAGUGUGAGAGUGGAAAGUUCACACUGUGACGGUAUCUUACCAGAAAGGGACGGCUAACUACGUG
rnacentral:rRNA from 1 species